CGCAGCUCCAUGGUGUGAUUUAUACCCUAGAGAAAGAGUCAACAAACUGCAGCCCCUUGGCCAAAUCCAGCCCACUGCCUGCUUUUAAACACUGAUUUUGACAACCAUCCGUGGAGAAGAGCCCAGGAGUUAAGCAGAGAUGUCCUGGCAUUCUAUUGGAAGAAACAAAUUUCUCUCUCUCUUAGUAAAUGCGCCUUGAGAGCCUGUGCUAACAUAUAAGAAGUCCAGCUCCCCAGAAGCUGCCUGCUAAAGAGAUUAUGUGGAGAGACUACAAAGAGACAGAGAAAGAUUCCUGAGGAGCUGCAGUUGUUUCAGCCCCAGCCGUUGGAGUCUUCCAGCCCAGGGAUCAGACAGCUGAGUGAAGAGAAGAGACCUUUGAGAUCACCUCAUCCCAGCCGCCAUCUGACUGCAGUUUCAAGAGACUUAAAGCCGGAGCCACCCAGUGUGCUGCACCAAAUUUUCAGCCCAUAGAAACCAUGAGCAAAAAUAAACGAUCAUUGUGGGUUUCAGCUGAUAAAUUUUGGAGGAAUGAAAUAAAAGGAAAAGUGAAUACAGAUAAAGAAGAAAGCUCAUCCCUUUUGCCAUUUAAGCAAUGGCCUAUUGUCCACCCUCCAUAGGGAUAUGGCAUUGGUGGUAAAUUCAAUAUUUAUAUCACUGGGA
rnacentral:lncRNA from 1 species